rnacentral:rRNA from 1 species
GGGGAAUCUUGCGCAAUGGGCGGAAGCCUGACGCAGCGACGCCGCGUGGGGGAUGAAGGCCUUCGGGUUGUAAACCUCUUUCAGCAGGGACGAAGUUGACGUGUACCUGCAGAAGAAGCGCCGGCCAACUACGUGCCAGCAGCCGCGGUAAUACGUAGGGCGCGAGCGUUGUCCGGAGUUACUGGGCGUAAAGGGCUCGUAGGCGGCUUGUCGCGUCGGCUGUGAAAGCCCACGGCUUAACCGUGGAAUUGCAGUCGAUACGGGCAGGCUAGAGGGCGGCAGAGGGGAGUGGAAUUCCCGGUGUAGCGGUGAAAUGCGCAGAUAUCGGGAGGAACACCGGUGGCGAAGGCGGCUCCCUGGGCCGUCCCUGACGCUGAGGAGCGAAAGCGUGGGGAGCGAAC